rnacentral:rRNA from 1 species
ACUACGGGAGGCUGCAGUGGGGGAUAUUGCACAAUGGGGGGAACCCUGAUGCAGCGACGCCGCGUGGGUGAAGAAGCGCCUCGGCGCGUAAAGCCCCGUCAGCAGGGAAGAAAAUGACGGUACCUGAAGAAGAAGCCCCGGCUAACUACGUGCCAGCAGCCGCGGUAAGUCGUAGGGGGCCAGCGUUAUCCGGAUUUACUGGGUGGAAAGGGGGCGCAGACGGCGAUGCAAGCCAGGAGUGAAAGCCCGGGGCCCAACCCCGGGACUGCGCGUGGAACUGCGUGGCUGGAGCGCAGGAGGGGCAGGCGGAAUUCCUGGUGUAGCGUGGAAAUGCGGAGAUAGCAGGAGGAACGCCGGUGGCGAAGGCGGCCUGCUGGACUGCAACUGACGUUGAGGCCCGAAAGCGUGGGGAGCAAACAGGAUUAGAUACCCCAGUAGUC